GACGAACGCUGGCGGCGUGCUUAACACAUGCAAGUCGAACGGAAAGGCCCUGCUUGCAGGGUACUCGAGUGGCGAACGGGUGAGUAACACGUGGGUGAUCUGCCCUGCACUUCGGGAUAAGCCUGGGAAACUGGGUCUAAUACCGGAUAGGAGCCAUUUUUAGUGUGAUGGUUGGAAAGUUUUUUCGGUGUAGGAUGAGCUCGCGGCCUAUCAGCUUGUUGGUGGGGUAAUGGCCUACCAAGGCGGCGACGGGUAGCCGGCCUGAGAGGGUGGACGGCCACAUUGGGACUGAGAUACGGCCCAGACUCCUACGGGAGGCAGCAGGGGGGAAUAUUGCACAAUGGGGGCAAGCCUGAUGCGGCGACGCCGCGUGGGGGAUGACGGCCUUCGGGUUGGAAACUCCUUUCGCUAGGGACGAAGCUGUUUGUGACGGUACCUAGAGAAGAAGCACCGGCUAACUACGUG
rnacentral:rRNA from 1 species